CGCCAGACUCCUACGGGAGGCAGCAGUGGGGAAUAUUGCACAAUGGGGGAAACCCUGAUGCAGCAACGCCGCGUGAGUGAAGAAGUAUUUCGGUAUGUAAAGCUCUAUCAGCAGGGAAGAGAAUGACGGUACCUGACUAAGAAGCCCCGGCUAACUACGUGCCAGCAGCCGCGGUAAUACGUAGGGGGCGAGCGUUAUCCGGAUUUACUGGGUGUAAAGGGAGCGUAGACGGCCAGGCAAGUCUGGAGUGAAAGCCCGGGGCUCAACCCCGGGACUGCAUUUGGAACUGUCAGGCUGGAGUGCAGGAGAGGUAAGUGGAAUUCCUAGUGUAGCGGUGAAAUGCGUAGAUAUUAGGAGGAACACCAGUGGCGAAGGCGGCUUACUGGACUGUAACUGACGUUGAGGCUCGAAAGCGUGGGGAGCAAACAGGAUUAGAUACCCGUGUA
rnacentral:rRNA from 1 species